rnacentral:rRNA from 1 species
CAGUAGCCACGGGAAUACGAAGGGUGCAAGCGUUAAUCGGAAUUACUGGGCGUAAAGCGUGCGUAGGCGGUGAGUUAAGUCUGCUGUGAAAUCCCCGGGCUCAACCUGGGAAUGGCAGUGGAUACUGGCUCGCUAGAGUGUGUCAGAGGAUGGUGGAAUUCCCGGUGUAGCGGUGAAAUGCGUAGAGAUCGGGAGGAACAUCAGUGGCGAAGGCGACCAUCUGGGACAACACUGACGCUGAGGCACGAAAACGUGGGGAGCAAACAGGAUUAGAUACCCCCGUAGUCCCUGUCUCUUAUAC